ACUCAAAUGAAUUGACGGGGGCCCGCACAAGCGGCGGAGCAUGUUGCUUAAUUCGAUGCAACGCGAAGAACCUCACCUGGGCUGAACUACGCGGGAAAAGCCACAGAGAUGUGGUGUCCUUCGGGGUCCGCGAUAGGUGGUGCAUGGCUGUCGUCAGCUCGUGUCGUGAGAUGUUGGGUUAAGUCCCGCAACGAGCGCAACCCUUGUCCUGUGUUGCCAGCGGGUAAUGCCGGGGACUCACAGGAGACUGCCGGGGUCAACUCGGAGGAAGGUGGGGACGACGUCAAGUCAUCAUGCCCCUUACGUCCAGGGCUGCAAACAUGCUACAAUGGCUGGUACAACGGGCUGCAAGACCGCGAGGUUUAGCGAAUCCCUUAAAGCCAGUCUCAGUUCGGAUCGGAGUCUGCAACUCGACUCCGUGAAGCUGGAGUCGCUAGUAAUCCCGGAUCAGCAUUGCCGGGGUGAAUACGUUCCCGGGCCUUGCACACACCGCCCGU
rnacentral:rRNA from 1 species